CCCUUGACAUGUCUAGUAUGGUUUCCAGAGAUGGAUCCUUCAGUUCGGCUGGCUAGAACACAGGUGCUGCAUGGCUGUCGUCAGCUCGUGUCGUGAGAUGUUGGGUUAAGUCCCGCAACGAGCGCAACCCUCAUCCUUAGUUGCCAUCACGUUUGGGUGGGCACUCUAAGGAAACUGCCGGUGGCAAGCCGGAGGAAGGUGGGGAUGACGUCAAGUCCUCAUGGCCCUUACGGGUAGGGCUACACACGUGCUACAAUGGCAGUGACAAUGGGAUAAUCCCAAAAAGCUGUCUCAGUUCGGAUUGUCGUCUGCAACUCGACGGCAUGAAGGUGGAAUCGCUAGUAAUCGUGGAUCAGCAUGCCACGGUGAAUACGUUCCCGGGCCUU
rnacentral:rRNA from 1 species